GAAGCCCUGGCUGGGAUGAUUUAGUUGUGGAUUAGUCCUGCUUUGAGCAGGGGGUUGGACUAGAUGACCUCUUGAGGUCCCUUCCAACCCUGAUACUCUAUGAUUCUAUGAUUUCUAUAUGUGAUGUGCACAUUUGUGCUAAUGUCUGAAUUGCAACACCUGUAGUUUAUAAUGGUUCCCCAAGCAGCCACUAAGGAAAUACUUAAAAGCAAAAGAGCAGAUUCUUAACUAUAUCCUUGCAGAGCUCAGAUGCAUUGGAGAGUGGCUGGCCAUCAGGGCUCUAGCUGUGGCCCCCUGAUCAUGAGCCACAUGGCCCUGAUGAAAAUAAGAGUCACAGAAGAGCCCCUGCAACUUACACCACUGGUGUAAGGGCCCUCAAGGAUAUUACACUAGUGGAUAAAUGGGAGUAUCUGAGCUCUGUUCCGCCCUGCUGCCCCCAGCACACCUCUAUGCAAGGAAUGAGGUUGGGUGGUUGGCAUAGGAGGCAGCAGCGCCACUUCCACCUGCAUUCAGCACUUGCAGAGUACAAAGUGGAUUUAGGAGGACUGGAGAAUCCUACCCAAAUGGUUCCUAUCUUUUAAGCUGUUACCAUUUUCAAGAAGAAAUAGUUUAAUGCACAUGUUUAGACCAGGCUUUCUUUGCACUUACAAUUCUUGUUGUGAUUUUUCCACCUGACACAUGAACUGCAUUGACACGAAUGAAAGAUGUCAUGCAUGUAUUGAAUAAGCAAGAUUUCACUUUAUCAGGCCUUGUAUACAUUGAUUUCUUCAUUCAUCCACUGGAAAGAAGGAAAUCAUUUUAAACAGUACGAACAUAUUGCAUGGCUUAUUGCUUGUUUGUUUAUUUCCCAGGUACAAGUAGCACAUUGUGUCUUACAACUGUAUAU